UCUGCUCAAUGAUUUUUUAAAUUGCUGUGGUAUUUUGACUAUACAAAGGUAUUGAAAUAAGAUUUUAAUUGAAUGCUAAGAGAAUGGAAUUUCAGGGAAAAGUUUUUUUAAAUUUAAUAAUUAAAGUUAUUUUAAUUUGUGAAGAAACAAUUAUAUAAAUUAAGGACAAGAAGACCCUAAGAAUUUAAGAAUUCUUAUGUUACUUAAAUAUAAACUAGGAAUUCUUAGUUGGGGCAACUAAAAAACAUUAUAAACUUUUUUUCUUUAAAAUGACCCAUUAUUAAUGAUAAUAUGAUUAAAUACUCUAGGGAUAACAGCGU
rnacentral:rRNA from 1 species